rnacentral:tRNA from 1 species
CCAAGCUAACGAUGCGGGUUUGAUUCCCGCUACCCGC